GACGAACGCUGGCGGCGUGCUUAACACAUGCAAGUCGAACGAGACGAUUGAAAGCUUGCUUUCGAAAGUCGAGUGGCAAACGGGUGAGUAACGCGUAGACAACCUGCCUUUGAGAUGGGGACAACAGUCCGAAAGGACUGCUAAUACUGAAUGUUGUAUAUUUUCCACAUGGAAGAUAUAUUAAAGAUGGCCUCUAUUUAUAAGCUAUCGCUCAAAGAUGGGUCUGGGUCUGAUUAGCUGGUUGGUGGGGUAACGGCCUACCAAGGCGACGAUCAGUAGCCGGUCUGAGAGGAUGAACGGCCACAUUGGGACUGAGACACGGCCCAGACUCCUACGGGAGGCAGCAGUGGGGAAUCUUCCACAAUGGACGAAAGUCUGAUGGAGCAACGCCGCGUGAGUGAAGAAGGGUUUCGGCUCGUAAAGCUCUGUUGUCGGGGGCGAAUGUGCAGUAUUUGAAUAAAGUACUGUAAUGACGGUACCUGACGAGGAAGCCACGGCUAACUACGUGCCAGCCGCCGCCGUAA
rnacentral:rRNA from 1 species